GACGAACGCUGGCGGCGUGCUUAACACAUGCAAGUCGAGCGGUAAGGCCCCUUCGGGGGUACGACGAGCGGCGAACGGGUGAGUAACACGUGGGUGACCUGCCCUCAGCUCUGGGAUAAGCCUGGGAAACUGGGUCUAAUACCGGAUAUGACUCCAUGACGCAUGUCGUGGGGUGGAAAGCCUUGUGCGGCUGGGGAUGGGCCCGCGGCCUAUCAGCUUGUU
rnacentral:rRNA from 1 species